AGCGAACGCUGGCGGCAGGCCUAACACAUGCAAGUCGAACGAACCUUUCGGGGUUAGUGGCGGACGGGUGAGUAACACGUGGUAACGUGCCUUUAGGUUCGGAAUAACUCAGGGAAACUUGUGCUAAUACCGAAUGUGCCCUUCGGUGGAAAGAUUUAUCGCCUUUAGAGCGGCCCGCGUCUGAUUAGCUAGUUGGUUGAGGUAAUGGCUCACCAAGGCGACGAUCAGUAGCUGGUCUGAGAGGAUGAUCAGCCACAUUGGGACUGAGACACGGCCCAAACUCCUACGGGAGGCAGCAGUGGGGAAUAUUGCGCAAUGGGCGAAAGCCUGACGCAGCCAUGCCGCGUGAAUGAUGAAGGUCUUAGGAUUGUAAAAUUCUUUCACCGGGGACGAUAAUGACGGUACCCGGAGAAGAAGCCCCGGCUAACUUCGUG
rnacentral:rRNA from 1 species